rnacentral:rRNA from 1 species
AUUGAACGCUGGCGGCAUGCCUUACACAUGCAAGUCGAACGGCAGCACGGGUGCUUGCACCUGGUGGCGAGUGGCGAACGGGUGAGUAAUACAUCGGAACAUGUCCUGUAGUGGGGGAUAGCCCGGCGAAAGCCGGAUUAAUACCGCAUACGAUCUACGGAUGAAAGCGGGGGACUUUCGGGCUUCGCGCUUUGGGGUUGGCCGAUGGCUGAUUAGCUAGUUGGUGGGGUAAAGGCCUACCAAGGCGACGAUCAGUAGCUGGUCUGAGAGGACGACCAGCCACACUAGGACUGAGACACGGCCCAGACUCCUACGGGAGGCAGCAGUGGGGAAUUUUGGACAAUGGGCGAAAGCCUGAUCCAGCAAUGCCGCGUGUGUGAAGAAGGCCUUCGGGUUGUAAAGCACUUUUGUCCGGAAAGAAAUCCUUGGCUCUAAUACAGCCGGGGGAUGACGGUACCGGAAGAAUAAGCACCGGCUAACUACGUG